GAAAGAAGGAGAAAUAGCACUCCCAGCUCCAGCACUGCCUGAGAGCCUGGAGUUUACAGACCUUCACCGUUUAAUCCUCACACCAAUCCUUCAAGGGCCUGCACACUAAACCAGCAGUCUACAUGGUCUCCACUCUUCCUUUGGGUGCCUCCAACUCCUUACCUGUCAAAUGUGGAGGCUGACAAGAUGCUUUCUAGAAGCUCUUAGAGCUCUGACGUUGGACACUCCCAUGGCGAAGCACAGGGGAGAAUUCCUUAUUCAAAAGAACCCUUCAGUGCAAGGAGAAUCUUCCAGAAAUGGAAAUUUGUAUGCCUCCUACAAGCGUUUAGCCUAUUUGUGUUUAUGUGCCCUGUUAAUUGGAUCUGCAGCCUAUGAUAUCUCGUUUUAAUUUAACUAAUCCUCACAAAAUAGACAAGUGAUUUAAAUGAUUACUGAGAAGAAACUGCAAACUGG
rnacentral:lncRNA from 1 species